CCUACGGGUGGCAGCAGUGAGGAAUAUUGGUCAAUGGACGAGAGUCUGAACCAGCCAAGUAGCGUGAAGGAUGACUGCCCUAUGGGUUGUAAACUUCUUUUAUAUGGGAAUAAAACGUUCCACGUGUGGGAUUUUGUAUGUACCAUAUGAAUAAGGAUCGGCUAACUCCGUGCCAGCAGCCGCGGUAAUACGGAGGAUCCGAGCGUUAUCCGGAUUUAUUGGGUUUAAAGGGAGCGUAGGUGGAUUGUUAAGUCAGUUGUGAAAGUUUGCGGCUCAACCGUAAAAUUGCAGUUGAAACUGGCAGUCUUGAGUACAGUAGAGGUGGGCGGAAUUCGUGGUGUAGCGGUGGAAUGCUUAGAUAUCACGAAGAACUCCGAUUGCGAAGGCAGCUCACUGGACUGCAACUGACACUGAGGCUCGAAAGUGUGGGUAUCAAACAGGAUUAGAUACCCUUGUAGUC
rnacentral:rRNA from 1 species